GAUGAACGCUGGCGGCGUGCCUAAUACAUGCAAGUCGAGCGAACAGAUGAGGAGCUUGCUCCUCUGACGUUAUCGGCGGACGGGUGAGUAACACGUGUAUAACCUACCUAUAAGACUGGGAUAACUUCGGGAAACCGGAUCUAAUACCGGAUAAUAUAUUGAACCUCAUGGUUCAAUAGUUAAAUACGGUUUUUCUGUCACUUAUAGAUGGCUCCGCGCCGCAUUAGCUAGUUGUUAAGGUAACUGCUUACCAAGGCAACGAGGCGUAGCCGACCUGAAAGGGAGAUCGGACAGCUUGGAAGUGAGACAGGGUAGAGACACCUAGGGGAGGAAGCAGUAGGGAAUCUUCCGCAAUGGGGGAAAGCGUAACGGAGCAAAGCCGCGUGAGUGAUGAAGGUGUUCGGAUCGUAAAACGCUGUUAUUAGGGAAGAAGAAAAGUGUAAGUAACUAGGAACAUAUUGACGGUACCUAAUGAGAAAGCCACGGCUAACUACGUG
rnacentral:rRNA from 1 species